rnacentral:rRNA from 1 species
GAGAUUCCCCCAGUAGCGGCGAGCGAACGGGGAGGAGCCCAGAGCCUGAAUCAGCAUGUGUGUUAGUGGAAGCGUCUGGAAAGACGCGCGAUACAGGGUGACAGCCCCGUACACAAAAGCGCAUGUGUUGUGAGCUCGAUGAGUAGGGCGGGACACGUGGUAUCCUGUCUGAAUAUGGGGGGACCAUCCUCCAAGGCUAAAUACUCCUGAC